rnacentral:rRNA from 1 species
CACGUAGGGUGCAAGCGUUGUCCGGAAUUAUUGGGCGUAAAGAGCUCGUAGGCGGCUUGUCGCGUCUGCUGUGAAAACCUCAGGCUCAACCUGGGGCUUGCAGUGGGUACGGGGCAGACUAGAGUGCGGUAGGGGUGACUGGAAUUCCUGGUGUAGCGGUGGAAUGCGCAGAUAUCAGGAGGAACACCGAUGGCGAAGGCAGGUCACUGGGCCGCAACUGACGCUGAGGAGCGAAAGCAUGGGGAGCGAACAGG